UGGGGUGGCUCUGGACCUGGUAUGCCCUGGACAUGCUACUUACUAGUCCACCUGCCAUCUGAGAAGGAACGAGUAUCUGGCAACCUGCUCCGUCUAGAGGAACAUUAUCAAGAGAAAGUUACUCUCGGGUCAUAUGCACUGAAGGGAAACCGAGGCACUGACUAUGGUUUAACUUGUAAAGCUAUUAUUUAUAUAUUCUCGGGGCCUGAGAAACCCUGAAAGAACUUGUACGCGCGGAGAUGGUUAGCGACUUUCUUCAGAUCACCUUGCCUCUGGGGGAGGCCACAGAAAGUCUUGCUUUGGAAAAGAAUCAAGAGAACGUCUUCUUCAUAGCCCCAUUUUCUUUGUUACUGUCCUCCCCUCAAAUCCGUCCCGCAGUCCAGGGCUUCCAGGAUCUGGAAAUGGGGCUCGUUUUCACCUCUUAGGCUGUUACCUGCCCUUUUGGCUUUGUACAUGCCUGUCUGAGGACAUACAAACCCUGCCAUUUGCCUCCAGACAUGCUGCAAUACCCUGUUAGAACCUUUGCGCCAAGAGAAGCCGCUGAGGGAAAGAGCCAAGCAGAAACUGAUUCCUGCACCAGAUCUUUCCUGGCCUAGCUGGCACCCUGUCCUUCAGAAUUUGAGAAAAGAAUGAGGUUCGCAGCUUGGCAUGGGGCAUCCACCAGGAAAUGCUAGAGGGCUCGGAAGCCAGGUGUUAGGUGGUGUAACCAACCAUUCUUUCUUCCACACAGAGACCUCAGACUAGUCUCCCUGAAGUCUUGGGAAUGGGGCUUAUAUGGGUUUCUCAAAUGUUACAUCCACCAGGGGAUCAAAGAUGAGGUUCCUGCUAUCUGGGGCAGGUACAACCAAUGACUGAUUUUGUGAUACACACUGUCACUUGCUGGUAGGUUUCAAAGGAUGGCCAAAGAUAAUUUUGCAAAAAAGGUCAUUGCAAGGGCUAGAGAUGUAUUCAGUCACUAGUUUGCCUCACUUGAGCCAAAUGCUGGGUUAUGUCUCCAGCACUUCAUAAACCUGGCGUGGUGACACAGACCUGUUAUCCCAGCACUUGGAAGUGAAGACAGCAGGGUCAGGAGUUCGAGGCCAACCUUCCACAGCAGCUUCGGCUACAGAAGACCUUGCCUUAAAAAAAAAAAGCCAACCCAACCCAAACUAAACGAAAUAACCAAACAAACAAAAAAUUAGAAGAAAAUGAUAAAUUUAUAUUUUAAUUAAGUAAAAAGACAAAUGGGAAGAGAAUUUUGCAGAUGUCAGAUAUUCAGUUUGACAAACUGUCACAAAACAAACAUCAACAAAUAUUUUUAAGUUACUAUUGCUGUGCAGAAGCCUGGAAGGAAUUAAAACAAUAUGCAAUUAUCUUUGAACAGGACACCAUAGAAAGCACCCCUCUCCUCACAGUAAAAGACUUGCGCUAUAAGGAAAAUAUCCAAGUUUUAUUUAUAUGUUAAAAACAUUUUUGGAUCCCAUAUCCCUUUGGACCAAGCUUUCCUUGCGAAAGACUAGAAAGCUUUUAGUAUCAAUUGAAGGGAGAAUGUUAGUUGGUUUGACCCAGUGGAUGUGUAAUUGAGAAACCACUCAAUAGUCAGGAAGCAACAUAGGAUUGGGUGUGUCUGGCUUCUAAAACUUCUUCUCUAGUGAUACUACAUUCUUGUCCAGGUCACACUGUUCAUGCACACCAAGGAGAGAAAGAGAAUGAGAAGGAUGUGUGGGCUGAGAACAAACCCAUUCCAGAGUUUUAAACAUUUUCAUACACUUGAUGACAAGAAUUUACUUCUCAGUGGUGUGUCUGCUAUAGAAUUAGGUGGGUACAGAUGACCAUGUUUGAGGAGAAACAGCCUCAGAAUCGUCCUUCAUUGUGUGAUAAUGACCUGGUUUGGAAAAUAAAGGUCUCCCAAAUUUGUGCCCUGUCUGGCAUCUAUGCAUUAUAUGUUAGCAUAUUAUCUUGUCUCAUGUCUGAAAUCACUGGGGCUCAAAUUAGAAUUCACUAUCCUGUUUUUGUUUCUUUUGUGGGUUUUUUUUUUUUUUUUUUGAGACAGAAUUUCUCUGUGUAACUCUGGCUGUCCUGGAAUUUGUUCUGUAGACUAGGAUGGACCUUGAACUCAAAGAUCAACCUGCCUCUGCCUCUCAAGUUCUGGGAUUAAAAGUGUGCACCACCAUCACCACCCAGCUUAGUUUUAAAGAUUUUUUUUUUAAAGAAAGAAUCACAUUCCAGAAUAUAAGAAGACAGCAGCACUUUAAAACACAGGACUGAAAUAUUAUUGCAUUUUCUUUUCUUUCUCAUGGUGGUAGGGAGCAAACCCAGAAUUUAGAAGAUGCCAGACAAGUCUCCUGAGUUAUAUGCCCAGCCCUAAUUAUUUAAUUUGACUGAAGUAAAUCAAGGGUUGAUAAUGAUCUUAAAUGUCUAGAGAAGAAAAACCAUGUACAACUGAGUUUAAAUUCUUCUUGGGACCAGGGAUAGAGUUUAGUGGUGGAGUGCUCACCUAGCAUGUGCGAGAUCCUGGAUUUAAUUCCCAGUUCUUAAAUGUAUGCUUUUCAGACCAUGAAAUGGGAAAAAAAUCUUAUUUUAAAAGAGAGGGGAGAUUUUUCUUAAUAGAGAGGUCUUAAAAAUCUGAAAAAUCAGAAGUGGCUAUUUUGGACAUCAGUGAGUAGGUAUGACUGACAGUUAUGAAUUAUCUUGGCAGAGAUACGCUCAUGGAAUAAAUCUACACAGACAUACCAUAAUGAGUAGUAACUUAGUGAAUGCUAUUCAUGCAAACAACAGCUUUAAUUCUAUAAAUACCCACGAUGUCUGCAACACCAGAAAGAACAAAGUAUGUAUAAUAUGAUCCCUUCCUUCAAGAGCUUCUCUACAGUUUCUUUUCAUCACAAUUGUUGUCAUAUUAAUUGUAUAAACCUGUGGGUUUCAUGGUGAUAUUUGCACACAUGCAUAUACCCUUUAGUAAAUUUCAAUGCAUUUUAGAAACCUU
ensembl:lncRNA